GACGAACGCUGGCGGCGUGCCUAAUACAUGCAAGUUGAGCGCUGAAGGUUGGUACUUGUACCAACUGGAUGAGCAGCGAACGGGUGAGUAACGCGUGGGAAAUCUGCCUUUGAGCAGGGGACAACAUUUGGAAACGAAUGCUAAUACCGCAUAAAAACUUUAAACACAAGUUUUAAGUUUGAAAGAUGCAAUUGCAUCACUCAAAGAUGAUCCCGCGUUGUAUUAGCUAGUUGGUGAGGUAAAGGCUCACCAAGGCGAUGAUACAUAGCCGACCUGAGAGGGUGAUCGGCCACAUUGGGACUGAGACACGGCCCAAACUCCUACGGGAGGCAGCAGUAGGGAAUCUUCGGCAAUGGACGAAAGUCUGACCGAGCAACGCCGCGUGAGUGAAGAAGGGUUUCGGAUCGUAAAACUCUGUUGGUAGAGAAGAACGUUGGUGAGAGUGGAAAGCUCACCAAGUGACGGUAACUACCCAGAAAGGGACGGCUAACUACGUG
rnacentral:rRNA from 1 species